ACGCUCGACACCUACGUGAGGCAGCAGUGAGGAAUAUUGGUCAAUGGGCGCUAGCCUGAACCAGCCAAGUAGCGUGAAGGAUGAAGGCUCUAUGGGUCGUAAACUUCUUUUAUAUAAGAAUAAAGUGCAGUAUGUAUACUGUUUUGUAUGUAUUAUAUGAAUAAGGAUCGGCUAACUCCGUGCCAGCAGCCGCGGUAAUCUGAGCGGGCUGGCAAGGC
rnacentral:rRNA from 1 species